rnacentral:rRNA from 1 species
UACAGAGGUCCCGAGCGUUGUUCGGAUUCACUGGGCGUAAAGGGUGCGUAGGCGGUCGGGUAAGUCUGACGUGAAAUCUCCAAGCUCAACUUGGAAAUGGCGUCGGAUACUAUUCGGCUCGAGGAAUGGAGGGGAGACUGGAAUUCUCGGUGUAGCAGUGAAAUGCGUAGAUAUCGAGAGGAACACCAGUGGCGAAGGCGAGUCUCUGGACAUUUCCUGACGCUGAGGCACGAAAGCCAGGGGAGCAAACGGG